CUCCAUUUGCUUAGUAGUGAGAAAACUACAAAUAGUUUUAUGGGCUAUGGUCAUCACUUAUCAUGAGAUCUGGAGUGUCCAGCACGAUGUAAAUCAGCAGUUCAUCAGAGGCCUUGAGCCAAGAGCAUUGGAAAUGGAGCUGCUUGCAUUGUCUGACUGGAGGGCAGCACAACCUACAGGGAAAGGAUUGUCAACUCCAUGGUGCCAGGAUGUUCCUGUUGGAUACGGAUAUGACACAUCUGGCUGCUCUGCCCGUGGGGGCUGGUCGGUCAUUUCGAUUGUGCUGCCAUAGAAGAGUUUUCCAAAUCCCAUGGCAUGGUUUGGAGACAGCCCUGCUCAAUGCAGCAUCAAAGUGCAUGAGGCCAUGAUUCACCACACAAGCAGGGUUGGCCUUCCACAGCAUAGAUGAGCUCAUGCUGAAUCCACAGUGCACCUGCAAUGAAAUGACCAUGUUCUGCCUUGUAGAGCAACCUACUGUAGGGAUUCUCUAAGAGGGGAAAUUUAUAUUCUGUUAUGGAUACUUAACUACUAACUGUACAGGAAUCUAAGGACCUAAGAGGAGAUGGGUGACUAGACAAAAAGUAGCUGCAAUGAAAAAGAACAGAUUUUACCCCAGAAGAUUGAAACUUACAUGUUCAAAGGCUGUAAAGCAAGAUAAACCACUGGUCUGUCUCUCUUGACUUUCUUCUGUGUAAGAAAGGCUUUAAUAGUCCUGUUUUUCCCCCUGACAAGUUUCUUACUAAUCUUUAUAGAGUCACUUCUCAAUUUCACUCUAAAAAUCUAAGCAGAUUUUGCAUUCUGAUUCUCUCCCUCAAAGAUGUUCGCUUGAUAUUUUGAGUAUUUGUCAUGAUUCUUUUCACUUUACCAAUGCCAAAAUUGCAGUCACCAUAUUAAUUCUUAUCAACCCCUCAUCUGGAAGUAAAACCACUUCCUUUCAUUUUCUUAAUAAUUUUACAUUUAGAAAAUCUGAGAACUGUCAUUUGAUUUUCUCUCCAUAUUAUCUCACUAGAAAUUUAUGCUGAAAUUUCAC
rnacentral:lncRNA from 1 species